AUAGGUUCCCAAAUGUACCUCCCUUGAGGGGGAAGGAAGGUGAAUCAUAUCCAGGCAGGAUCCCGGCUCAGCCUAUACCCACACGCAAACUUUGCUGGGACAGCACUCAGGUUGCAAAGUCAAGAUUUCGGCGCCAACACUCGCUGAGCCCCGCGUGCACCUGCGUGUGCCACCAGCCCUGCUGCGGGAGCGCUCCACCUGUGCCCAUCGGCAGGACCUGGACCUCAAAAUUCAUCACCUGGACCUCCACCACGGACCUCAUGGAGUAAGGGACGCCUGCACGGACCACCUGCAGGCCAGGAGGGCAGUGGGCUGAGACACGAGCACCACAAAGGCUUUCAAACCCGCAGCAGCCACCUGGAGGUUUGUCCAUCUGCCGUCCCAGCCGAGGAGCCUUUACCUGCUGCCACCACCCCACCUUGGCCUGCUCAGCCCCCCAGUUCAUUCUCCAUCCCCCACGGACUCCCUGGUGCUGCCCAGCAGAACCCCUGAGGACCAGACCAGUGCUCCUGCCUGGGUACUCCUGUCCUUGGAUGAGGUUUCAGUGUGGCUGUUAAAUCCUGUUUGGAUGGACUUCCAGCCAGCCCCAGACAGCUGAAGGCUUGGCUGCACAGCACGUGAGAUGGGACCAUUUUGGAGCAGGCACGGGGAGAAGCUGCUUCUUCAGACGAGGUCUGGCAGUGUGGAGGGUUUGUUUCCCAAGCAGCCCUCCCCUUCCCAAUCUCCUGGGCCUGGAGGGCUGUGGGCAACCUGCUUUGCUGUCCCACUCCACAGAGCCCUGUGUCCUCCCACUCGCCCAAGUUCACGGUCCAGCCACUGCAGAGCUGUUGUCUCUCAGGAGCCAGCAAGCACAACACCAAAUCAUCACGGGGUCGGCAGCACCCAGGCUGGGAGGAAAGUGGAAGACCUGGGGUGGAGAAAGAGAAAGGGGUGGUCCUGAGAAGAAACUCACCUCUACUCGUUCUUCUCUCUCAGGUACACUGUAUAUCAAGUUACAUUAUGGCUUAAGACAUCAGAGAUUGGCAAGAGAAGAUGUAAGUUUGGAAGACCUGUCAAAGAAAAGUUUUUAAAAAAAAAUCAAAUAUCCCACAGCGGUCCGAAGUAAUAGCUCAGCUGCUAAAAAAGGUGGAAUUAAAUAGGUCAAGCUAUAGAGCUGUGCUACUUUAUGCCAGCCAAAGGAACUAGCUUCUCAUCUGCUAGGCUGUUUCACGACUUGCUGUUCCAAGAAUCCAUCUCUCCACUAGUAAUGAUGUCAAAUAAAUCUUCACUAAAAUGUAAAAAUGUUUAUGAUGAUACUUACUGACCCGUUCCUUUAUUAAAUGAGGACAAUAGGAUGAUGCCUUGAUAUUUACUAAUGGGUUACUCCCAUCUAACCUUUUCUUGUUCAUCCAGAUCAGCUGUUUUCAUUUCAUCAUUCAAUGGCU